rnacentral:rRNA from 1 species
AAAAGUGGCAUGAAUGCCCUGAAAGCACCAGAUUCUGUCUGACCUUGGAAACUAAACAGGAUCUUCCCUGUUAGUACUUGGAUAGAAGACUGCCAACGAAUGCCAGGUGCUGCCAGUU